UACAGAGGUCCCAAGCGUUGUUCGGAUUCACUGGGCGUAAAGGGUGCGUAGGUGGUGAGGUAAGUCGGAUGUGAAAGCUCGGAGCUCAACUCCGAAAUGGCAUUGGAAACUACCUUGCUCGAGGGUUAGAGGGGGGACUGGAAUACUUGGUGUAGCAGUGAAAUGCGUAGAUAUCAAGUGGAACACCAGUGGCGAAGGCGAGUCCCUGGACAACUCCUGACACUGAGGCACGAAAGCUAGGGGAGCAAACAGG
rnacentral:rRNA from 1 species